rnacentral:rRNA from 1 species
GAUGAACGCUGGCGGCGUGCUUAACACAUGCAAGUCGAACGAAGCACUUUACUUGAUUUCUUCGGAAUGAUUGUUCUGUGACUGAGUGGCGGACGGGUGAGUAACGCGUGGGUAACCUGCCUCAUACAGGGGGAUAACAGUUGGAAACGACUGCUAAUACCGCAUAAGCGCACGGUAUCGCAUGAUACAGUGUGAAAAACUCCGGUGGUAUGAGAUGGACCCCGCGUCUGAUUAGCUAGUUGGUGGGGUAACGGCCUACCAAGGCGACGAUCAGUAGCCGACCUGAGAGGGUGACCGGCACAUUGGGACUGAGACAC